rnacentral:lncRNA from 1 species
UAGGAUUGGAUCUGAAGGGAGUUUGGUACUUAAGCAGUCCGAUGGACUCACCUCCUCUUUUCCGAUUUCCUACCUGGUGCACAGCUUCCAUUAACUUUAACCUAUAAUGAAUUAAUCUUUUAAAACACUCAGUAAGUUUUCUUUCUGGAUCGAAAAUGUUUUGAAUGCUUCGAUGUGGCAUGUCGGAUUAGGCCAUAACGUCUGGGCCGGGUUUGGGGUGCUACAUUUAGUGGUAUCAGAGCCUAGGUUGCAACAACUCGGCUGUGGAAUGGGUUUACAAAAAAAAACAAAGAUUUUCAAAAAUAAAAAAAAAUUUAUAAAGAUUGCGAAGAACGCGAUUUUCAAAAUUUAGAUCUUUAGAAGGUGGCAUUCCGAAUCUCCGGCUCAAGCCUGUAAGUAUUACUCUGAACUCUUCUGAAUAUUGUUCUGAAUUAUCUGUCUGUACUGAAACCCUACUAGGAUACUCAAGAUAGGAUGAUUCUGAAACCAUAGGAAAAUAUGAUAAGAGACUGAAACUAUAGCUAGACUUCGAUUCUGCGAAAACAAACUCUGAACUAUUGUCUGAUUCAUAAAACAUCUGUAAUAAACACUGGAAUAUUAAUUGAUGUAUAAAAAUUCGUAAUCAAGAUAAUACGAUAUGAGUACAAGAGGCCGUGGACGGAGCCAAGGAAGUGCUCGAGCGAGAUUUUUGUCUUCGAGACAUAUGCCGGCCGUGGAUGCACCGGUACCACCGGCAACAGAGGUAGAGUCUCAUGACCGCGGUACCGGGGAUGAUGCCCUAUCACAGACAAUGCUUCGUGUUUUGGAAAGGGUUGUCAGGGCAAGUACGGGCAACGGAAUUCGAGGAUCAAUUUCUGAACGACUCCGGGCCAACGGAGCGGAGAUCUUUAGGGGUGUGUCUGGUAUAGCCCCGAAUGUGGCGAAAUAUUGGUUGGAGGCCACAGAACGGAUUAUGGACAACUUGGACUGCUCUGAGGAGAUUGUGAGUGGUAUAUCUGUACUAAGUCAUUUAGGUCACUCGGUUAGGGUAGACAAACUGUAUAGGGAUGUACCCUUAGAAACUCAAGGUAGGAUUUUCCCUGGAGAUCUGAUGGAGUUAUCGUUCAGAGAGUUUGAUCUCAUUUUGGGAAUGGAAUGGCUUGUUAAGCAUAAGACGACCCUGGAUUGUACUGCUAAACGAAUGGUGUUAAGGACCACAAAAGAUGAGGAGGUUAUGGUGAUAGGUGAGCGAAUGGAUUAUUUGUCCAAUGUGGUGUCGGCAUUAAGAGCCGAAAAGUGGAUUCGGAAAGGUUGUGAGGUCUAUUUGGCAUUUGUAAGUCAGUUAGAAGAGGAGGGACUGACAGUGGAUAAGUUUAGGACCGUAAAGGAGUUCCAAGAUGUUUUUCCGGAGGAGCUUCUAGGAUUGCCUCUGAACCGAGAAGUUGAGUUUGAAAUAGAUUUGUUGCCUGGAACGGCGCCUGUGUCCAUCGCAUCGUAUAGGAUGACACCGAAGGAGUUAGUGGAGUUAAAGGCUCAAAUUCAAGAGUUGUUGGAUAGGGACUUUAUUAGGCCAAGCGUGUCUCCAUGGGGAGUACCGGUGCUAUUCGUGAAAAAGAAGGAUGGUAAUGCGGAUGUGCAUUGAUUAUCGCCAGUUGAACAAACUGACGAUUAAGAAUAAGUAUCCAUUGCCAAGGAUUGACGAUCUAUUCGACCAGCUUAGAGGAGCUUCUGUAUUUUCCAAGAUUGACCUUCGAUUUGGAUAUCAUCAGUUAAGGGUCAAGGACGCAGAUAUCAAAAAGACGACAUUCAGGACUCGGUAUGGUCAUUACGAGUUUCUGGUUAUGCCAUUUGGACUAACGAACGCUCCUGCAGCGUUUAUGGAUCUGAUGAAUCGUGUGUUCCAACCAUUUUUGGAUCAGUUCGUAGUCGUCUUUAUUGACGAUAUCCUGGUAUAUUCUGAAACUGAAACGAAACAUGAUGAGCAUCUCCGUAUAGUGCUGUAAUUAUUAAGGGAGAAGUAACUCUUUGCGAAGUUCAGCAAGUGUGAAUUUUGGUUGAGGGAGGUAACCUUCUUAGGACAUGUGGUCUCUGCUGAGGGGAAUAAGUUGGACCCUUGGAAAAUUGAAGCGAUUUUGCAGUGGAAGCCGCCUAGGUCAAUGUCAGAAAUACGGAGUUUUCUAGGACUGGCAGGAUACUACAGAAGGGUUGUGGAAGGUUUUUUUCUGUGAUGGCAGCACCUCUGACAAAACACAUAAGGAAGGGAGUACCGUUUGUAUGGACUAAGAAACAGCAGGAAGCUUUUGAGAAGUUGAAGAAAGUUCUGACUGAAGCACUUGUGUUAAUUCAGCCGGAGUCUGGGAAUGAUUUUACUGUGUACAGUGACGCAUCACACGUGGGUUUGGGCUGCGUGCUAAUGCAAGAGGGUAAGGUGGUUGCAUAUGCAUCACGAUAGCUUAAGCCUCAUGAGGGAAACUAUUUGACUCAUGAUUUAGAGUUGGCAGUAGUGAUAUUUGCACUUAAGAUUUGGAGACAUUACUUGUACGGAGAAAGGUGUAUUAUAUACAUUGACCAUAAAAGUCUUAAGUAUUUGUUGACUCAGAAGGAGCUGAACCUUAGGCAAAGGAGAUGGAUUGAGUUGCUUAAGGAUUAUGACUGUUCGAUCGAGUAUCACCCAGGCAAGGCUAAUGUGGUAGCCGAUGCUCUAAGUCGUAGAACUGUAUCUGAUCUGAGAGCAAUGUUUGCUCGUCUGAGUCUGUAUGAUGAUGGAAGUCUGUUGGCUGAGUUGCAAGUGAGGCCAACCUGGUUGGAUCAGAUUAAGGAAAAACAGUUGAACGAUGAGUCUUUGGUCGCUCGUUUUCAACAAGUUAAGGAAGGGGAAACUUCUGAGUUUGGGAGCCAGAAAAGACGAUGCAACAGCAAUACCCUCAUCUGUUUGGAUUAGGUAAAUUUCAAGGACGAAAUUUCUUUAAGGAGGGUAGAGUUGUAAUGCCACAAUUUUUGGGAAUUCUGUGAAUGUUGGCAAAAUUUCAUGCUUUAAUUUUGUCAUUUGUGAGUGAAAUUAUGAAAUAGGACCUAUGUGAAAAUGUUUGAAAAUGCUAUAGGCUAAAUUGAAGUGACCAAAUAAAUAGGAGUGCAAAAUAGGAGGAUUUGCAUGACAAACCUCCCAUUUUACAUGAAGUGGUCAGCCAUCAUGUUGUUGUAGACAAAAUGUGCACUUGAUAUCCAUAAUUUAUGGUACAAAUUGAUACAAAUUAAUAAUAGGUUAGGUAAAUGUUCCAUGAUAAUAGGUUAGGUAAAUGUUCCAUGAUAAUAGGUUAGGUAAAUGUUUCACGAUAAUGGGUUAGGUAAAUGUUUCAUGAUAAGAAUUUUAUGUCUUUUGUUUUAAAGAAUUAAAUGGAUGAAAUAUAAAAUUUUAUUAAAAGAAAAAGGGGUGAAAAGAAAAAAGUUUUGUCCAUCUUUGUUCAUCAUAGCCUAAAGUUAGAGAAGAGAAAGGAGAGGAGAAAGCUCUUGCAUGUUCGGUCACUUGGGGAAGAAAAUUGAAGGUAAGUUCAUGGUACCUUGCUUCUAUUUUGAGGUUCAUUAGUUCUUCUUGAUUCUACCUUAACUCUUGAAGCAUAUUUUGGUUUUUAGUUGUGUUGUGAGCAUUUAGUCAUGAAUUAAAAUGAAGGAAAUGGUUGUUGUUUCAUGUUCUUUUGAUGGAAAAUGGAAGAUAGGUGAAGUUGAGCCAAACAAAUGAGCAUGCAUGUGCCUUAGAUGCUAAGGGGAAAAAAUCGGCUAACAUGUUGUGCUUUAAAAUGAUGAAAUGGAUAUUAUACUUAAGUAAAAUCAUAGAUAUAUGAUGAUUGAUUGGUGAUAUACAUGUUUAAAUAACAUGCAUGCAAGGUAUGUGUGAAAGAGUGGUUUGGUAAUAAAUCUGCUUGGGACAGCAGUAGUAACGUGAAUUUGGAAAAUCACCAUAAAUUGUGAGAGAUGAAUUAUAAGCUGAAUAAAUUACGUAAUUAAAGCUUAAUGAGUCUAGUUUCAAAUGAAAUAAACGAGAACAUAUUUUGAAUUCUGUACAAUGAGAAAUUUGAUUCGUAAUGAAGGGUGGUCAGAUUAGUCAAACAGUGAAACAUGCGAAACUUUGAGAAAAAUCUGGUAUUGAUUGGAUAAACCAAAAAUUCUGAAAAUUUUAUGGAUAUAAGAUAUAUAAGUCUAUUUUUAGGUAAAAUUAACGGCACUUGAUUUGGACUUUCGUAGCUCCAGUUAUAAAUGAUUUAGUGACUGUUGCUCAGGAAGACAGCUUGCAGUGAAAUUAUGAUUAUGUGGUAAACACUAACAAAAAUUUGUUAAUGAGUUGCUUAUUGAUUUCUUAUAAGCUUACUCUAAUCUGUAGGUGUGGUUGGCCGAAUAUUGUAAGGGGUUAAUACGUAGUUCGUAUUUGAAUAGUUAGAUUAAUGUGUUAGUAAUCCAAUUGUAGGCAGUUUGUGUGUGGAUCUCGUUAGCAUAUCGUCGCAAACAGGUGUGUAACUAACACCCUCUUUCUUAGUCUAGAUCGGCAAAAGUCAAAAAUCUGAAAUGCCAAAAAUCGGUAUUUUGUAGAUUUACGAGUGUGCGAAUGCUCGUGAGGUAAAUCGAUUAAUCUUUUUGGUAAGUUGCAAUGUUUGGACUGCAAAGUGCAUGAUUUCUGUGCCCUCGAUAUUUUUGGGCUUAGUGGGCUAAAAUUGGAAUGAUGGGCCAACAGGCCCAAUUCAGUAAGAACCCUCAGUACGUGAUUCUAUAGUAUGAGAAAGGUAGGAAUAUGCAUGAAAAACCCUAAAAUAGAUAAAUUACUGAAAUACCUUUAAAAGUGGAAAAUUUACAGUUUUACCCCUAGGAGAUAAAUUACCGAAAUACCCCUAGGGUUAAAUUGAUUUAAAUGCAUGUUUGACUGUUGUUAUUUACUGCAUGCCAUGUUGUUAUUAUCUGAUGCAUGGGAUUGGGAUAUUGACGGAGGAAGUACUAAAAGUGGCUUGUCCACGUACUGGAGGCUUUGCCUCAAUUUACUGUUAACUGAGCAGCAAUGCUGCAACUGUGGAGUGUUGGGCUGGGUGGGUUGAGCUAUCCCCACAUGGAGUGUAUGGCUGGUACGGGUGGAGUGUAGUGAUUGGUGGGUUGAGUAGUCUCCCCAAAUGGGCUUGCAUAUGUUAUUGAUGUUGCAUGUAUUUUGAAAUGGGCCUAUGGGCCAUAUUGUUAUCUGAAUAAGGGGCUAAGACCCAGUUUAUUGUAAUCUGAAAAGGGCUCUGGUCCAGUACCACUGUUACCUGAAUAGGCUUAGGCCCAAUAGGCUUGAGCUGACUUGGGCUUUGAAUGGGUUUUCCUUACACACUGAGUUUCCCCAAACUCACCCAUUUUAUUUUCAUCCACGCAGGAAAUCCCCAACCAUAGUGGGCUUGGAGCUAUGAGGGAAUUCGGAAUGGCCACCCGUUCUGAAAGUUUGAUUUUCUUCUGGUGAACUGGACAUCCUUUUAAUUACGUUUGAGGUUUUGGGCUUUUAAAUGUAAUAAGGCCGCUUAUUUAUUUUUGAUGGUUUUUAUAUGUUUUAUUAAGAUAGGUAAUAUUUAUAUUUUAAAUGUUGAAAUUAGAUAGCUUUAGGGCGCGUUUUCAAAAACAGUAAUUGAUUUCAAAAUAACACGAAAACAAGCAAAGCUUCCGUAAUGAAGAUAUUUUCUAAAAUUAAUCACUUUUCCUAAAAAGGACUUAAUCAAAUCGGUUUCCUAGAAAUAUACAUGACGUUAAGGUAUGGCAAUGGUGGUUUGCAUGUCUAGGAUUGGAUCUGAAGGGAGUUUGGUACUUAAGCAGUCCGAUUGACUCACCUCCUCUUUUCCGGUUUCCUACCUGGUGCACAGCUUCCAUUCACUUUAACCUAUAAUGAAAUCAUCUUUUAAAACACUCAGUAAGUUUUCUUUCUGGAUCGAAAAUGUUUUGAAUGCUUCGAUGUGGCAUGUCGGAUCCGGCCAUAACGUCUGGGCCGGGUUUGGGGUGCUACAUUUCUAGUAUGAAAUUGUUUUGAAAUAUUAAUUAGGAGGUCUUAAAUAGAAAUUUUACCAAUUUAUAAGUCUAUGGACAAAAAUUGGACAUGGAUGAAAUUUUUGGAAAGUUUAGUAGUAAGGGCAUUUUGGUCAUUUAGGGUUAAAAUGAAUUAAAAUACAAAAUUAAAAGCCAAUUUUGCUUAUCUUCAACUCCGUGGUCGAAUAUAGCAAGGAGAAACCAUGGCUAGGGUUUUUCAAGCUUCCAAGCUCGAUGGUAAGUCCAUUCUAGCCCCGUUUUUCAAGUUUUUUACGUUUUUGGAGUCCCGGUAGCUCGAUUAAGCUUAUGCUAGCAAUAAUUUAACAUAGGGUUUAUAUUUGGAAAAAUACCCAUAGGUGAAAUUUGUGUAUUUUUAUGUUUUAUGAUAUUAUAUGAGGUUUUAAAUUAUGUUAGACAACUUGUGCUCGGUUUUAAGUGAAAACGAGCAAAAUGGCUUAAUCGGUAAAAAUACCUAAUAGUCAUAAGUACAUAUUAGAGUGAGAAUUUGAUGUUGCCAUAGAAGGGAAAAAUGAUCAGCAUGUCAUAAAACAUAAGAAAAUAGGCUGAAUUUUAAUUUACGAGCUUUGGGGAAAAAGUGUAAAUAUGCAAAAGUUUAGGGGCAAAAUUGUAAUUUUUCAAAAAUAUGAUUUUGG